AAAGUCGUAACAAGGUAACCGUAGGUGAACCUGCGGUUGGAUCAUUACAAAAUUGGUAUCUUACCAAAACACCGUGUGCACCAUAACUGUUCUUGGUAGCGUAUUGGAUGGGUCACGUACCCCACAUCAGCAGUGCACGUGAGGACUUCGGUCUUUGACUGUGCGAGUCAGCUGUGGGACCUACUGGCCUUUCUCGAUCGCUGCCGCAUGUCCAAACAUUGUAUUACAAAAUUUUAGUCUGAAUCAGUUCACCACAAAGUGAAAUGAAAAACAACUUUUGACAACGGAUCUCUUGGCUCUC
rnacentral:misc_RNA from 1 species